UACAGAGGGGGCAAGCGUUGUUCGGAAUUACUGGGCGUAAAGAGCGCGCAGGCGGUCGUUCAAGUCGCGUGUGAAAGCCCCCGGCUCAACUGGGGAGGGUCACGCGAUACUGAUCGACUGGAAGGCAGGAGAGGGUAGUGGAAUUCCCGGUGUAGUGGUGAAAUGCGUAGAUAUCGGGAGGAACACCAGUGGCGAAGGCGACUUCCUGGCCUGUUCUUGACGCUGAGGCGCGAAAGCUAGGGGAGCAAACGGG
rnacentral:rRNA from 1 species